ACUAUUAUAAACCAUGUCAUUGUAUCACGCCAAAUGAAGUUACUGAAAAUUCUCAACGAGAAUUGAUUGUAAAUAUUCUAAUAAAUAUAAAAGAAAAAAAACAAUGAUCCAUCGAUCCAGAGCAGCUUCCAAAUUCGUUACUCAUUUUCCAAGGGGAAAGCAAACAUCAUUUCCAAUCACAGCCUUAAAGUAAUCACAGAUUUAAACUUUCUGUGGUCUGGAACUAUUACCUCGGACCUCUUCGUAGAAGAAUAGAGAGGAGAUUUGGAGAUAAAAUGAAAUAAAUUCACGUAAAUAUGAAGUGAAGUUUAUUUUACAAUAAAUUUUUUAAUAUGCACUUAAAAAAUAUAGUUGUCUUUUUUAAAUUUUUCUUAAGAGAAGAUAACUAAUUCUUCUUAAGCUUUGCCCAACUAACACCAAGACUUUGCAUAAUCCUGCGCGUGCAUCUGAACUCCUACCUUUCCAGGAGAAACUUCUUUAAAUAUCGAGUCUGAAAAAGGAACAAGAUAGUUAGAAAAACAGUUUGCAAUAUGAUUCUAACGAAAUACUCUAUCCAAAUCUAAUGCAUUUUAAGUAUUUGAUUUAAUAGAACAAAAUUCAGAGUUACCUCGACGACAAGACCGUCCCUCGUCAUCACCAUGGAUUAUAUUCUACCGUUUCACGCUCGACUCGUUUUAUGCUUCAAGAUCAUUAGAUUCGAUUGCACGACAACGGUAGAGGAAAAACAGGGAAGACCAUAAAAUGGAGGGUUAAAAACGACGAUGCGAAUGAGACAAAAAAAUAGUGGGACUGAGCAAAAAGCAGACAGUGGCGGGUCAUAAGUGUGAAAAAUGCACAAGUCGAACGUGAAUGACAGUGAAAAGAGGAAAGUGGACAAGUUUGUGUUUUAGGAUAAUAUUACAAACGUAAUGUUUAUUAUACUGCGUAAUAUGUGUAUUAUACUGCAUCGCAGCACUAUUCGCGAAGGAUAGUGACUCUUCCUUUUUUUUUUCUAGAUGUUAAGAUGUAAAUAUAUUCUUAUAUGGCGCAAUUAUAUUUACUAAUUAGAUUAUUUUUAUUAUAAGACGUUUUGUAAUAUGUAGGAUAUAUUUCGAAAAUAAUAAGUAUAUCAGUUUGGUUUGAUCACUAUUGAACGAUUAUAUUUCACUUUAAGUUAAAGUCCGUAGUCGUAUUAUAGAAUUUUUGGAUUUCUAGAAAAUAUUUAAUGAUACAUUUAACAUAUUUAAUGAUAGUUUCAAGUAUUUUUGUCCUUCACAAUAAAAAGGAGCGCAGAAUACUAUUUUACAAAAAGUAGCUAUAAAACUAAACUAUAAAAACUAAUGGAUAAACUUACACCACUAUUAUUCUGAAUCCUUUAGUUGGUGUUCGCCGUCGUUAAAGUGUUAAACAGAAUAAAGUAACAGAAAUAGAAAGAUUAAACAAGAAAAUAGAGAGUUGUUAUUGGAAAAAACAGUUUCUCGGCGAUGCAUCGUCGUUACCGUCGUCCAGUUUACAUGGACCAUUGAUUGCCUAUCACUCCUGAAGAGGAGUCGCGCGUCCUCCACCUCCAGGUAUCCAGUUUACUCGUAAAAAAUUGACUUAUGCUGAUUGGCCGGCGAAUCGGUUGAUUAUCGCCGUCGGUAUUUCUCGCGUUAUUGUACCUUACCCCUGGCUAGUUGCGAACAACCGACGCCAUAGGACGCCAGCAACGGCAACAACAGCGCAGCUGUUGCGUUGCUUGCCUUCGUCGAAGCUACUGUCGGGUAAUUAGCGACGUAUUAAUAUACCCGAUAUAAACGAGCGACGUGCACGCUUGUAUUUCAAGAAGACCACCCAACAUGGUUACGUUCACAUGCGUUAAUUAACGAUUUUCUACCAGGACGAAUCAACGUAAGCAUCCCCCCGUGGUUUUAUUAUUCGACUACAGGCAUCUGCUGUUCCAUCAAUUGCGAAAAAGAAUUGUAUUGAUCGAUGUUGCCGAUUAAUGUUGUGCCACCUUUGCCAAUAGAUGAACACCUCAUAAUUAAUUCGGCCGUUAUUCAUUAGCUCAUCGAACGGGCUGCUUUUCACACGACCUUAUUUUAAUCGACACACGGUCGUUUACAAUCCUCUUGCGCAUAGCCAAUCGUAAGAACUUAAGGGCAGAAUUAUUAGAAUCCUCGGCGUGAGAAUUGUGCGUCGUUCAGUUUAUUAUUAUUUCUUGUAUUGCAACGAGGCUUGUAAAUUUUAUUUUAUUUCUUGUUUUCUUUAAAAAUAGCAGGUAUAAUACUUUCGUGAAGCUGUUGAUUGUAAUCUGUUUGACACAAAUACCUGUGGUUAUCUAUAUAGAGUUAUCGAGACAGGAUUAUUUAGCUUAACCAGAGAACUGAUUGUUUUAAGUCACUGAACGAAAAUUAAGUGUUAUGACAUGUUGUUGGACCGUGGAUUUUUAUGCAUUUAUAGGAAAUUUAAAGGUCAAGAUUGUUCAGAAUACAUAUAAUAUAAAAAAUAUGAAGUGUAUCCUACAAUACCUUACAGGGCAAAAUAUAUAAAAUUCAACGUGGCAGCCAACGUGUUAAUCUGUGAAAAUGCAGAACCGAGGAGAGGGAAGCGUGUCUAUCUUGAAGCUCGAAGAAUGAUCCACGAUCAGGCUAGUCGUGAAGAUGCUUUCGAAUCCCGUAGCGAGCGUCGUUUGUUACACGGUGGAUGGGUAUCAAUUACGCGAAUACCGGCGAUUGAUUGUGCAUUGGCACCGUUCGAACGUGACGGAGAUGCACAAAGCGCUGGAGGGACGAUGUUAUACCCGAGGGCAUCGAUCGACGAUGAUUCAGAAACGUUCCCAUGCUAUCUAAAUUCUAAAUAGAAUCUCAGUAGAAUCGAUGCCGAGGCGUCGGCUGCCAGUCGGAUUCACAGAGACGUUCGAUGAUGAAAUCCAGCUUUGGUUUAUUAAUCUCUGUUUAGACCAAGUGUUGGAUCCAUACGAUGAACUGUUACCUGUGAUAUCUUCUUCGCUGCAAUUAAUGAGAUCGUUUCUUCUUCGGUGCUUCACUUUGUCCUACCUUUUUCUUUGCUUUAAAAUACUUUCUACGAAUACGUGUUCGUAAUGAGUUAGUACAGAGAGAGUUAAGGCCCAAGAUAUUGAAAUUCGUCCGUAAUAUUAUACAUAACGAAGCAUGUAUUAGUUUCGAUGGUUCCAAGCGCAGUAAGGAAUACAAAAAUCUUGAUGUCGUUAAUAAUUGAAGAUUCUGUCUGGGAAAUUUUGAUAUACUCGUUAAUGAAAAUUUCCAAGUUCAAUGUAUGCAUAUAAUAAAAGAACAAGCAAGAUAAUAAUGCGAAAUAGUACAACGAUUGACACAGAAUGAUGGAGAAAAUAUCAGCAAUUUUGAAGAUAGCGAUAAUUAUGAUACAAUAAGUAAUAAUUUUAGGUACUUUGAAUGAAAUAUAUAUGCAUGAGCCAGCUAAACUUCAUAAGAUACAGAUGAUGAUAUGUACCUGUAUUAGAUGGUUGAAUAAUUCAAUGCUUUCUGUACGGGAAAUGAGAAUAUUUAAAUAAUUCGUCGAUUAUGGAUGAUUAGAAUGUAACAACUAUAAACACUGAUUACGAUUUAUUAUACAAGCUUUUCGAGUUUCUCGUUGUCUCGAGACGAUCGAACGAUACCCAUUAAAGUAGGAAUUUACAUAGGAUCUGCAGCUGAUCGUUGACGGAACUGUGAGCUCUCGAGGGAAGAACUAAGUGUUGCGUGAUUGUUUCACGAGAAAGAAAAACGUGAGAGAGCAAUUCGUUGAAUGCUAGUUAAUUUAACGGUGAUUAGAGUUAUAGUGCCGGCAAAUGAAACAUGUUGCGGUGUACCUUUACGGCUGGUUUAUUGAAACAAAAUGAACAAACAAUUCUCCUGAAGAUUCGUUACCCACAGAAAGAACCUGUUGAAAGGUCUUUGCGCAUUUUUGUGAACGCGGCCGAAGAAAUGGAAUCUACGUAGAGAUUCGUUUUAUCUACAAAGUAAUAUAAUAAAUGCUAUAUUUCGAA